GGACCCGUAGUAUAGUGGAUAGUACGGUGGCUUGCGGAGCCACAAACCCGGGUUCGAGCCCCGGCGGGUCCG
rnacentral:tRNA from 1 species